AGCCGGCCGUCUUGAUUGAAUAUGAGUGUCACCCUUUCAAGCAAUUGAGCCGCAUUCCGGUUGAUGAUAUUUUGAUUUUUCAGCAACAUCAUCUGUCUCUGUCUAUUGGCUUCAGCGCCGCAUCAAUCAUCGCGAUCGCGUUCGUGACGCCAUAGACCGCGACGAACGAUCCGAAGCGUGGGCCUUUCUCCUGGCCGAGCAGCACCUGAUAGAGCAUGUUGAACCAGUCGAGCGAGACGCCCGGACGGCCGUCCUUGCCUUUCUUCA
rnacentral:misc_RNA from 1 species